rnacentral:rRNA from 1 species
GCACAAGCGGUGGAUGAUGUGGUUUAAUUCGAUGCAACGCGAAAACCUUACCUACCUUUGACAUGUACGGAAUUCGCCAGAGAUGGCUUAGUGCUCGAAAGAGAACCGUAACACAGGUGCUGCAUGGCUGUCGUCAGCUCGUGUCGUGAGAUGUUGGGUUAAGUCCCGCAACGAGCGCAACCCUUGUCAUUAGUUGCUACAUUUAGUUGGGCACUCUAAUGAGACUGCCGGUGACAAACCGGAGGAAGGUGGGGAUGACGUCAAGUCCUCAUGGCCCUUAUGGGUAGGGCUUCACACGUCAUACAAUGGUCGGUACAGAGGGUUGCCAACCCGCGAGGGGGAGCUAAUCCCACAAAGCCGAUCGUAGUCCGGAUCGCAGUCUGCAACCCGAUUGCGUGAAGUCGGAAUCGCUAGUAAUCGUGGAUCAGCAUGUCACGGUGAAUACGUUCCCGGGUCUU